rnacentral:SRP_RNA from 1 species
GCUGGGCAUGGUGGCUCAUGCCUGUAAUCUCGGCAUUUUGGGAGGCUGAGGCGGGAGGAUCACCUGAGGUCAGGAGUUCAAGACCAGCCUGGCCAACAUGGUGAAACCCCGUCUCUA